CCCUUCUCCCUAGAAAUUUCCGCCAUUGUUACUCAAUCGAGCUUCUCAACUGUGAAGCAAGUUUUUUCAUGGUAGCAGAGCAGGAGAUACUGGAAUCUCACGCGAUCUAACCUCUGAUUAGAUUUGUUCUCUGCUUUGUUUGUUCACAGUAACUUCGAAGCUUGUUCUCUUCAAUAAUGGGCGAUACAUCUACUUCCUCGUCAGUGGAAGAAACUGUGAUCGACCACACUUAUUUUCUAUAUAUUGGUCCGUUUUACACUCCUAGUCCAGUAAUUAUUCCUAUUAUGCUCACAAGAUCAGAGAAUUACGGUCUAUGGAGCUGGUCAAUGCGGAUUACACUUAUGGGGAAGAAGAAGUUAAGAUUCAUCACAGGAAAGUGUAAGAGAGACUCGUACACAGGUGACUUGCUGGAGCAAUGAGAAACUUGUAAUGCGAUCGUUCUUUCAUGGAUAAUGAACAAUGUUUCGGCAGAACUCCUUGGAGGAAUUGUCUAUGCAUCAGAUGUUCACCUCGUUUGGGAAGACUUGCGAGAGAGAUUUUACAAAGUCAAUCGAGUGCGAAUUUUUCAAUUACACAGGGAAAUUGCGACCUUAUCACAUGUCACUAACUCUGUUUCGGUAUAUUUUUCACGGUUAAAGAAACUUUGGCCUGAAUAUGAUGUAUUGGUGCCUUUUUCUGAUUGUGGCUAUCCAAAAUGAAGGGAUCACGUGGAUUAAAUGCAUCAACAAAGAGUUAUGCAAUUUCUGAGCGGCCUCAAUGAUUCCUAUGAUCAAUCAAGGCGAUAGAUCCUUAUGAAGACUAAUACGCCUAAUCUCAAUCAAGCUUAUGCGACGAUAAUUCAAGAUGAAAGCUAACAAUCUGUUGGAGCUACUGUUCUAUCAAAUAAAAUGGAUCCUAUGGCUAUGCUAUCUUAAAGAAUCGAAGGAUUUAAAGGAAAAAAAUAAUUUCUUCAAUGUGAACAUUGUGGGAUGAAGGGUCACACAAAAGAAAAUUGCUAUAAAAUCAUUAGUUAUCCUAUGAAUUUCAAGCCUAAGAAGAAAUUUGGGGCAGGAAACUCGGAUGGCUGGAGAAGAGAGCCUCUUGCAACAUUCAACAGUGUUGAAUGAUCUUCUUCAUUGCAACGAGCUAGAACUAAUCAAGGAACAUCUGAACACAAAGGCCACUAUUUUUUUUACUGAUGAGCAAUAUAAGCAAAUUUUGGAGCUGUUGAACAAAAAACCAGGAGAGAACCAGGCCAAUUGUACAAAGGAGAAUCAUGCUAACUUUGCAGGAUCUUUACAGUGACAUGGUGAAGGGGAUUGGUAGAGAGAGAUGAGGCAUAUACAUUCUUAAGGAGAAUUCAGAUGCAAACAGACUUGCUAGAAUAAGAGUUGUUGUAGUAAGCAAUUACAGUGAAGAAGGCAAUCUAUGGCACAUGAGGAAUGGUGGUGUUCAAAGAGACAAUCUUCCCUUCCAAACAAAAGUCUCCUCCAAAGAUGUGCCUUCCAAGUGUUGUGCCAAGGCAUCUAUGUGCUGAUAAUCCCUUGACACCAAUAGAGACAACACACACAUCAUAUAUGCAGUAGGUUCGAGUACCUACACUUGCCGAGACAAAAGAACAUCCCUUCAUUGAAGUCGAGCAUGAACAAGAUGAUAUAAGUGAGGAAUUGGGGCACAAGCAAGGUGUUGAAAAUGUAGAGUUGGAGAAAGAUUUGGAUCAAAUUCCUGCAGCAGAGACUAGCAUUCUUGUUGUUGAUGAAAGAAGAAAGACAACUAGAGAAUCCAAACAGCCUAUUUGGAUGAAAGAUUAUGUUACACAUCCUCCAAAGGUACAUUGCCUUUACCUCAUAUCAGACAAUCUAUCUUAUGCAAAAACCUCAGUGAAAUAUCAGUGCUAUCUUGCUAAGUUCUCGUCACUUGUGGAUAGGGAUGACAAACGGUGCGGGGCAAACCCGCGAAGACUCCAACCCGCCCCGCAAAAUAAAAUUUGUUAUUUUUAAUCGCCCAACUCGCCCCGCGCACCCCCCCCGCAUAUUAUUUUAAUUUGGGAAAAUUAUCAAAAGAUACCACAUUCCAAUGUAAUAUAUUCUUCUUUUUAGAUAAAUUUUAUGCAAUUUUUCUUCUUUUGUUGAUGUUAACUCCACUUACUACAUGUAGUUAUCUUUUCCUCCUAUCUUUUUAAUAUUAAU